ACAUAUUUUGGCAUUUUCAUCAAAAUUUCCGUAAUUAAAUUAGUACCUUACAAAAUUUAAAUAUAAAACAAGAACCAGAAGGAUAUAGGUUAAGAUAGCAAAUAUGAAUACAAAAUAGCACUCACAAAAUACGUAUAUUUCUUAAUGGAUUUAAGAGAUUUUUGAAUGAUCAGGAUGAGUUUUGGCGAUCUUUGCGAAAACUCUAACGAUCACGUGUAAUGCAUAAUUACUUCGACUCUAAUGAAAUUAAACAAGUUAUGGACUUCAUGUAUUCUUGAAUGAAAUGAAAAAAUCAAUUAAAAAAAUUAGAUAAAAUAGACCUUAGAUCAAAACAUGAAGAAGACAAUAACUUGCGUUA